GUAGUGAUAUGCUUGUUUCAAAGAUUAAGCCAUGCAUGUCUAAGUAUAAGCGAACUUAUACAGUGAAACUGCGGAUGGCUCAUUAAAACAGUUUGAAUUUAUUUGAUGAAUGUAUGAGAAUACUACUUGGAUAACCGUAGUAAUUCUAGAGCUAAUACAUGCAACGACGCCCGACCGUUUCACUACGGAAGGGCUGUAUUUAUUGGAUACCAAAACCAUCCUUCCCUCGGGAAGUUUUGUUUGAUGAUUCACAAUAACUGAUCGGAUCGCCACUGUGGUGGCGACAGGUCAUUCAACAUUCUGCCCUAUCAGCUUUCGAUGGUUGUGUAGUGGACAACCAUGGCCAUAACGGGUAACGGAGAAUCAGGGUUCGAUUCCGGAGAAGGAGCUUGAGAAUUGGCUACUACAUCUAAGGAAGGCAGCAGGCGCGCAAUUACCCAAUCCCGAUUCGGGGAGGUAGUGACAAAAAAUAACAAUACCGGGCCUUUUUGGGCUUGGUAAUUGGAAUGAGGGAGAGUUAAACGGACCAUCGAGUAUCCAUUGGAGGGCAAGUCUGGUGCCAGCAGCUGCGGUAAUACCAGCUCCAAUAGCGUAUAUUAAAGUUGUUGCAGUUAAAAAGCUCGUAGUUGGACUUGUGUGCGCUGUCCGCGGGUGGCCUGCGCCCAAAAGGGCGUUUCGGUUCGGCCCCGGUGGCGCCUUGAAAUCUGCAGCUGGGGGGACGUUGGCCUUAACUGGUCGGCGACCGCACGCCGGCUGCUCGGUUACUGUGAGAAAAUUAGAGUGUUCAAGGCAGGCAUUGGGUGCAAUUGAAUACAUUAGCAUGGAAUAAUAAAAUAUGGCUCCUGCCGUAUUUUGUUGGUUUUGACUGGUGGGAGUAAUGAUUGAUAGGGACGGUUGGGGGUGCUAGUAUUGAGCGGCCAGAGGUGAAAUUCAUGGAUUCGCUCAAGACUAACUUAUGCGAAAGCAUUCACCAAGGACGUCCUCUUUAAUCAAGAUCGAAAGUUGGGGGAUCGAAGACGAUCAGAUACCGUCGUAGUCUCAACCAUAAACUAUGUCGACUUGGGAUCGGCGGUAGUUUUUUCAUUAAGACACUGUCGGGACCACGGGAGAAAUCAAAGUGUCUGGACUCUGGGGGAAGUAUGGUCGCAAGGCUGAAACUUGAAGGAAUUGACGGAAGGGCACCACCAGGAGUGGAGCCUGCGGCUUAAUUUGACUCAACACGGGGAAACUUACCAGGUCCAGAGAUGUAGAGGAUUGACAGAUUGAAGCUCUUUCUUGAUCACUUCGGUGGUGGUGCAUGGCCGUUCUUAGUUGGUGGAGUGAUUUGUCUGGUUAAUUCCGUUAACGAACGAGACCUCAGCCUGCUAGUGUAGUCGGCUGGAUUG
rnacentral:rRNA from 1 species